GUGGGUGGUCGUGGGGUUAAACACAGUGGCGUAUCUGGGCCUGACGGCGGCGACCCAUUUCGGCCGCCUGUUCAGCAUCCCGGCCGAGAUCGAGCGCGACCUGCCGCACGCGCCGCAGCUUCUGUUCAGCAUGGUGAUCGUGCUGAAGGCGGUGCUGAUGCUGUUCGGCGC
rnacentral:misc_RNA from 1 species